rnacentral:rRNA from 1 species
UACCAGCACCCCGAGUGGUCGGGACGUUUAUUGGGCCUAAAGCAUCCGUAGCCGGUUCUACAAGUCUUCCGUUAAAUCCACCUGCUUAACAGAUGGGCUGCGGAGAUACUAUAGAGCUAGGAGGCGGGAGAGGCAAGCGGUACUUAGUGGGUAGGGGUAAAAUCCGUUGAUCCAUUGAAGACCACCAGUGGCGAAGGCGGCUUGCCAGAACGCACUCGACGGUGAGGGAUGAAAGCUGGGGGAGCAAACCGG